rnacentral:miRNA from 1 species
GUCUCUCGGCGUUAUCCUUUGUAUUGCGGUAAGUUUUAAUGUUGAGCUAGAAAACCCCCGCUUUUUCUAGCUCACACACUAAAACUUUCAGCCAGUGACGACGUUGUUCCAAGACA